CCUCCCACCCCCACCCCGGGGACCCUGCCGGACACAGCGGCCGCCGAGAGGGCCCCGCCGGUAGUCGCUCGGCAGCACACCGCCAGCACAGCACACCACCUCGCGACACCGCUCCACAACAGCUGUUGGUGCCGGAUUGAACACCUGCAGACGAGCGAGACACAGCCGCAGCCAUGCUGUUCCAUAACAACCUCGACAUGAUAGGCAGGAACGAGCCCAUCACAAGGAAGGCCAAGUUCUGGCAGUCCUACGUCCGCGCCCUCAAGGGCACGGACGAUAUGCGCGCGCCGGACCGCGUGUCGCACCGCCCACGCAGCCUCUUCCGGCCGCUCUUCUCCGACUUCCCCGACCUGCCGGGCGCGCCCUGGCUGUCGCCCAAGUCGAUCUACGACGAGCCGUCACACGCCGCAGAGCGCAUCUCCACGCCCGGCUACCGCUACCUGCCCGUAUCCAGGGAGAUCUACGGCUACUCGCCACGCAACCUGUACCCGUUGCCCUCCGACAGGUACCGACCCGGACCGUGGUCGUCCCCCAAGGCGCUGAGUGACUACCUGGACCGCAUGUGGGCACUGGACAAACUGUACCCACUCAGGGGGCCAUCUCCUGCGACCGUGCGGUCCACCCCCGCUCGAGAGUACACGCCCACGCCAGAAGGCGGAAAGACGCUCGGCUACAACUAUGCAGGCCAGCCGAUCUACAGCCGGGGCGGCAGCCUGGUGCGGCGACCCCUGUCUGAGCUGUUCGAGCCGCUGACGACACUGCCACUGUCCCGCAUCACGCGAGACCCCUGGUGGUGGGACUACCCACACCUGCGGCCCUACGAGUCGCCCUACAACUGGCUCUGGCCCAAGACGCCCUUCUACCUGCGUGACAGCUACCUGUCCCCCGUCAAGAGGACCUACCUGUGGUACAAGCACCCCAUCCGGCCCUUCGGUGAGCGCUUACGCCUGGCCAGCCCUGAGAUAGUCGAGGUCACCGUUUCGAGCCAUAUCGAGCGGCGUGCGCAUUCCGUCCUCUAAGCACAGAUUCUCUCUAAAACACACACACACAACACACACACACACACACACACACACACACACACACAAACACACACACACACACACACAAACACACACAUGAGCACACUUCACUGUUCUCAAACUGGAUCCAAAUCAAGCACUUGUAAAUCACCUUCAUAAUAUGCUGACCCUGAAUCUAUCUAAUCAGUUCAUUCAGUGUGCAACUGGUGGCCAGACAGGGAUUUUUUCUCGUCCGAGACUAAAGCGGUAUCAGUCAAACACCUCAAAGCAUAAUGUGUGAAGGACAUCUGUUGUGUGCUGAAUGGCAUGUUAGCAAGUGUUGUUGUGGAACAGCAGGAUAGCUUCUCUGACUGUAUCACACCUUUUGUUCUGAGUGAAUUGUUCCAGUUCCCAGGCUGUGAUUAUGUUCAGCAAACAGAUUCCCUAAUCAUAAAGUGACAGUGCCAGUGAUAAACCACUGCAUCAGAUUCAUGUGCUUAAACCAAGUUAAGUGCUAAGACACUGGAUUUGCACUCGGUAAGGCAGUGGUCCAGAUCCUCAUAUGGCCACCUAAACUUGGAAAACACAUAGCUGAUUUCUUUCCCCAUGAUUCCUCAGUCACCUGUGCUCCAUCUCUGAUAACGUCAUUGCUGAAAGAGUGUUAAACCAUAGCUGGUCUCCUUCCUUCUUUUUAUGCUCAAUCGAUAUAUUAUCCAACUGUUGUCCUUCAUAGUAGAUGGUACCAAGUACACUAUUCUCCCUUAAUUAACAAGUUUGAUACUAACCAAAAGCUAUGCUGAUUGGAAACUGCACUGUAGAAUACAUAACACAACCUGGAUAGCUCUAUAUUUGCAAUUAUUACAUGAGAGAUGACAUAGCUAAGUUUGGCUUUUAGCUUACGACACAAUUCUGAUCCGGCACUAACACAAGAUUGCAGAGCAUAAUCUGCUGUCAAGUAAAGCACUUCUCUUUUAAACCUAGCAAGUCAGCUCAUGUGAGAAGUCCAGGAGACUAUAAAAUGUCUCCUAAUGGCUCAGUGUUAUACUUUUGACUCUCAAAGUGAAUUAACUUUCCGUUGUGCAGGCCUUCUCCCACAUUUUUAUUUUCUCCUAGUCAACAUGUCUUUAUAAACAAAAUAACGACAACAGUGAAGUGUCCUCAUCAAAAUAUACACUAACAUGAAGAUAUAUUUAUCCAGACACUCUAAAGCAAGAAAAAAAACUGAAAACAUACAGCACUUCCACAUAAUACAUAUAGCCCAAUGGCAUUAGAUGAUAUGUAGCUGUGAUACUUGCUAUGCCACAUAUUAGUAGUAACAAAUAUAUUUGUGCUGAACUGAAUUCUUCCUAAACUUUUUAAGCAAAUUCAAGUCAUCAUGAACAAAUCUGAAGAAAUUUUGUACAAAUCAAGACAGAUGUCAGCUAUGAAGACCUGAGCAAGUGAUGGCAUGUCAGCCUUCCAGUAGAUCACACCACAUCACAGGUUACUUUAAUCUGAUGCUCUGUUACUUCUCUCACCUCUCUCACAUCCCUCUCCCAUCCUCCCUACCCCCUCCUCGUCACCAUAGAUGCAUUGGUCCCAGACACCACCUCAUUUUCUCAUAGUACACAUCCAGCAGAAGCACGUGGGGUCACCAGUGAAAACACGCCAUCGCACACCAGCUGCUCACAUCCGCUAAAAAAGAUAAGAAAAGGAAGAUAUCAACUGCAUCAAAUCUUUAAAAAACAUACAGAAAACAAUCCACAGUACUCUUCGUGUUCGGAUUGGACUUUCUAUAUACUUUUUACGUCAUAUUUAAUAUCAUUUUUGAAGCCACCAUAAUUUUGAGAGUAAUAAUAAUCAAAUUUAUUGGGCAAAAAUGUGGAGCUAAGACCAACACAAAAUAUAAAACAUGUACGCAUAAAUUAUGUGGCAUAUAGAUCUUUCAAUCCGAUCACUGCUUCUGUGCAUUUUUUUAUAUUUUAAAGAAUUUUCAGUACAAACAAAAGCAAAAUAUUAUGGCUUUAAUAUUUUUGAGAAAAAUAUUGCUAAGUUUGCAUCUAAUAAUUCGUGCCAGUGUGCAUGUUUUCUGUUACCUAUCAAAUGUAAAUGUCAAAUUUUGAAGUCAAUAAAAACCUGUCUGGAUGAAAA